UAUAGCAAAGUUAUGCAGCUUCUUUCUGCACUGCGGCCGGGCAAAGUUUUCCCUCAAAUUAUGCAGUUAAUGAAACAAACUCCUGAGUGAAAUACAUAUCGCGUGGGCAUCACGUCGACCUGAAACUGGAUACGCAACGCAGCAGCUGCUUAUUUCACAUGUAAUUUGGCUGGAAGCUAACUUCUCAAAUUGACGGCGGCGCACAAGGUCCUUGCAAUCGCUGCAUUUCAUGUGAUACGUGUAGAGCGAAGCAGCUAUCAAAAUCUUUGCGGGCAACAUCCAUUUGUUUAAGGUGGAUUAACUGGGAAAGGACUUUCCAGCGACAAAGUCUACGCAAAUCCUUCACUUUUACAUAACAACCUUCAAAUAAGGAAAGGAAUCUGAUCUAUGUUACAACUUGAGGAACUUGAACUGGUAACCUUCUUGUUCAAGUUGGAAAACUUAUGGACCACGAUUUGCUUUUAUACCCUGAACCCAUGUAACAAGCAGAAGGAAGCAUC
rnacentral:sRNA from 1 species